GUCUUUUUCCAGAAGUGCAAACAAACUUUUAUAUCAUACACCAAUAGGCACGCCUUCUCUUCUAACCUCUAUUAGUUGAUCUUUUACCCUUCCUUCCCUUCAUUUCCUUCAUUUCUGCUCCUCUGUUUCGUUCUUCGCCUCGUCUUCCUGAGCUUUUUGGACUACCGACGUUGAGUGGACACUAUAUAUUUUUAUCUGCUAAGGCUCAUAAACGGCUCCAGAUGCUUCAUGAAAGACUUCACAGCUAGAAGGAGGAGAACGAAUUCAGAGAACAAAAAAAGGAAAGAGAAGAGACGGACAGGGGACAUGUUCAGGGUUGAAGCUGAAGCUGCUCAGACCCCAUCCUUUCUUUUCUGAUUUUACUUCCUUGGGCUUUUUUCUCUCCCCUUUUACCCCUCGCUCAUUAUCUUUCUCACCCACUCUAUGUUCCCUCACCCCUCACUUUCUUUCCACUCUGUUCGUUUCUCUUCCCUCUAACCCUUCUCUCUUCAUACUCACUCUCUCUCCAUCCAUUUGGUGGAACAGUGCUGCUGAUAAUGCCUGUAAUUGGAGUGACUCACACUUUUCCAGUGUGUUUGGACCAGAUAAAGAAUAUUGUCAGCAUUUUGCCGACAUGGCCUCUGCUGGCAGAAUUAAAUGGACUCUGUUCUGUUCUGUCUGCAGCAAAUUAAAAGCCUCUCAAUUCAUCUGUUCUCGCCCAAGGCUUACAGGGGCCUCCUAUUCACACAAAAACACCGUGGAGAGGGGGAGGAAUAGAAUAAGAGAGAUUUCCCUCUUCCCCAAGAAGCACAAGUCUUUUGGUUUUGUUUAAAUCGGCACUCGGCCACUGUUAGAUGGAGACGGAGAAGGAAAGAGAGGUCAAGACUUAUAUUCUAAGAAGAUUUGAAGAGCAGCUCAGAAGGUAGUCAGAUUCAUUAUGUAGCAUGUCAGCUUGCAGCUGCCCGUCUUUGUGCUUUACCAUUUCCAAGUAAGAAAAAAAGCUAUUCUGUAUUUGUGUGCACAUGUAAAUGAGCGUGCUUUCAUGCAUUGACACAACAGCGUUAAAGUGUGAAUCUGAGUGUUUUUGGCUGCUAAGUUAUGGUAGUCACUGCCAGUCAACACUUAGGAAUAAGUAGCAGCAGAUGGGCAGGAAAAAUACAAAAUGCUGGGGCCAGAGGGGCCUGUCAGUCCUAAGAAGGGCAGCUGGAAUUAGCAUUAAAAAGAAAUUAAUACAACCUUGGUCUUGUUAGUUUUAGCUUCUGUUCGUGCUCGUAAUAAUAACACUGGAACCCUCAAGUUAAUUGCUGGGAUAUCAGAUAAUUGCUGUCAGGAUACAGAAUGCAUAAAUAUUUAAAAAAUUGACCUGUUAGAAAAGAUAAAGUGAGCAAAUUGUCUGUCAUAAUUCUCUAUCACUGUUUCGACUUCCUGGUUCAGCUCUGAAUUACUGUAGGGUGCUUUGGCAAUGUUUCAACCCGUGCAUAUUAUUUUCAAGCUAAUAAAAACACUUUGGAAGCUUUAGCAGAACUAUGAAGAAGUAAAGCAAAUGUUGUGAAUUAUAAUUGUUUUAGCUUUUGUUGUUCAGCAAGUAUGGGUCCACUUACGUUCAUUAAAUCAUUCAUAGCUGUAAACAAGGUUAACCAUGACUCUGUGUUCCCCUGCUGUUAUUUCCUGUUACUUUUGGUUCAGACUCAAAGUGAGAAAUAAAAUCCCCAGUGAGUCUUUUUCUUUCCUCUCACCAGCAGCAUUGUGUCAUUGUCAUAGAAGUAGCGAGAGCACCGCUAGUGCCGCUCUACUGUUCUAUCUUUGCGGCAUGUGGUAU
ensembl:lncRNA